rnacentral:rRNA from 1 species
CGAAAGCCUGACGGAGCAAGACCGCGUGGGGGAGGAAGGCUCUAGGGUUGUAAACCCCUUUUCUUUGGGAAGAACAAAAUGACGGUACCAAAGGAAUCAGCCUCGGCUAACUCCGUGCCAGCAGCCGCGGUAAUACGGAGGAGGCAAGCGUUAUCCGGAAUGAUUGGGCGUAAAGCGUCCGCAGGUGGCGAUGCAAGUCUGCUGUCAAAGCACGGGGCUUAACUCCGUAAAGGCAGUGGAAACUGAAUAGCUAGAGUGCCGUAGGGGUAGAGGGAAUUCCCGGUGUAGCGGUGAAAUGCGUAGAGAUCGGGAAGAACAUCGGUGGCGAAAGCGCUUUGCUAGACCGAAACUGACACUCAGGGACGAAAGCUAGGGGAGCG